CAUGCCUGAAGUAAAGCUAGGUAAUUAUAUCUGAAGCUUUGUUUUUGUAAAUAUACUUUCAAAUACAUUACUCUAUUGAUAAGAACUACCUCUAAAGAAAUAAAACACUGCAUACUCAAGUACAUGCAUUACUUUCUUGUAGAUACGUCUGUUUGUUAUUUAAAGGCAGGACAGAGAUUACACCUAAAAAGAAAAUGCAGGACAAAAUUUUUCAUCCUAGCCCCCCCCCCUAAAAAUCAAAUGGUAGCUCUAAACUGACUUUGAAAUAACCAAUAGAAUUUCCAUAACAACAUGUACAUGUAGUUUCUUCCAUUUACAAGCUGAUUUAAUCAUUCAUAAUGUGAUCAAGCACAGAAUCCUCUAUAAACUGGUGGUCCCAAGAUUUGACAAUCAAAUAUUUUAAAGGACUUAUAUAUGACUGGUUAUUUUUUGCAAUAGAAAUUAUAGAUCAUUAUAGUGAGGACAAGUAGGUUUUCUUGUAGGAACAUCAGGAAAAAAUAUUUUCAAGAACUCUAGUCUGCAAGCAUGCAUUCCACAACUCACUGGUCAGUGAUUUUUUUGGUAUUUCAGAUCAUAGAAAAUUGCCAGAUAUUAUGAUGAUCUUAUCAAUUAAAGAUAUAUUACCGUAGCUAUCUUUUUUUUUUGUUCUAACCACAACCAUAUUUGGCUAUGAGUGAAUAUAAUUUCAUUUAUUCAUAAUUUCUAUUAUUCAUUAUUUUGCAACCCUGCAAAUUAAAACAGAUCUGGAGACAUUGUUCAUUGUAUACUUAUUAAAAUUUACUUUUAUAAUGAUAAAUUGUUACUCAUAAAAUUUUAUAGUUUUUUUAACUAAUGAUUAUUCCAUUAUUGUAUUUUCUAGCACUUCUUUUUAACAUGAUGGAGUUGCAAAAUUUACCACGGUUCUAUGGACAACUGAAGGAGAAUAAUUUCAUUUGUCAAAGGACAGGAGACUUUCCAUGCUUCAAGACUUUAAAUGCUGAAAUUGUAAGGCUUUAACUAAUGUAUACAUAGAUGGAUUUCUGUGUUUUCCGAUUUUGAAAUAAAAUAUUUACAAAGUCGAAUUACGGAUCAUUCAAUAAAAGGAUCAAGUCCAAUUUAGGAGCCAAUGUAGGAGUUUCAACUAUUUGGUCUAACUGACUUCGAAGAGGCUUGAGAGACUUUCCAUGCAAUUAAUAAUGAAGACUGACAAAAUGCUGAAAUUGUAAGUAAAUGCUUUAAGAAUACUAUAUGUAUAUGUGUAUAUAUGGUCUUGUCUUAAGUUUCCAUAAAAAACAUUAAGUAUAAUUUAAGUCUUAACUUUUUUAUUUAGACAUAUUUUUAAGAAAAAUAUAAUGUUUUAACUUUGUUCAAUGCAUUUUUAUAAUUUCUUUAAUUGGAAGAAAUAAAGCACUUAAUUUAUACACAAUAACCUUUUUGAUUUAAGCUUUUGUAUGAACCUUUUUUAAGAUCAUUACAUGGAGCUUACACUGUUUGAAGAGAUGUGGGUAUAUGCCAAUGAGACAGCAACUCAACUACAAGAAUAACCAAAGGAACAUAUCAAGAUACUUUUUUUAACUGUCUAAUCAAACCUAAUGCUCCCUACAGUCAAAUAUCAAACAAUUAAAAGAUUAAACGCAUGCAGUAAUUCUUUAAAUACAUAAUGUUUGUCUCCAAUUAAUAAAGCAGUUGUCUGAACUUGUGUCAUAUCUUUGUAGGGAAAUAAGAUGCAGAGAACCAUUCAUGAAGUGUAUACAUGAAACUGAUAUUUACAAUGUUCUUCAGAGCUAUAACUCUAGCCCUUAAGAUUACAUUACACUACUAUUGCUUGCUAAUUCUACUAUCAACAGUAGAAGAGAGAAGAUUCAGGACUAAGAGUGAUUUUUGCAAUUUGCUGUGGAUGAUGACUUAAUCAAAUUUGGAUGCAUUGAUGAAAUUCAUACAACGAUGACAGUUAAUUCUUUGAACAAGAAAAAGCUGUAGAUAUUUUCAAUGGUGCAAAACAAAAAAGUAUGAACUAUAAAAUGAUUAAAACUGUGUUGAGUUUACAAUUUUUAUAAAAGUUACAACAUUUACCUACAUGUAAAGAAAUAUAAUAAACCCCAAAGAUGCUUUUAUUUAGAUUGAUUGUAAAGUUUACAUGUCUGGCUGGCAUGCAUCAUCUGUCUUUGUUCAUGGUUCAUAAGUCAGUGUAACUUUUCAAAUGGUGGAUCCUCCUCUAAGAUACUAGAAACAAAAUGUCUCUAAAUGUCUAUUUGGUUUAUGGAAUGAUUGUAAGGUGUACAAGUCUGUCAGGCUUGGUUUAUCUGUCAGACCUUGACCUCAUUGUUAUGAAUCAUUAAUAUCUUUAAACUUGU
rnacentral:lncRNA from 1 species